CCCCGAAUGCCGGGGGGGGGGGGCAAGGACGUCUGGGCAGGAAGGGGGCGCUUCCAUGGCCCUAAGUCUCAGUGCGUGAGCACCACGUGAGCAGGCCAUUGUUGACUCUGUGUGCUUGGCAAACAGGAGAUUUAUCCAAGGCCACCUUCCCCACCUGCUGGGCCAGGGGCCUGGGUAGGAGGCUGAGGAUAGCAUCUGCUUAGCAUGUGCCCGGGGUCUCCCGCUCCCCUGGGGCACCCACCUGGAGACGCCGACCUCUCAGCGGCAGCCGGCGGAGGGUGUACACUGAGGUGGUGUCCAGGAAGAGGGGGCUCGCUUCCCGGCCCCGGUCCCAGGCCCCGUGUAAGGCCCCCUUGGAGAAAAGCAGGCAUAUGGAACCCAUUUGGGAAAUUCUUUCUGCAUAAAUCCCUUUUUCCAGGUGUGCAGCUCGAUGCAUUCUGACAACCCUACGUAGUCCUGCAGCCACCGCCACAAUCAAGAUACGGAAAGUGUCCAUCCCUCUGCACGCCGGGCCUGCCUGGCUCAUCUGCUUUCCAUCCCCAUCAUCGUGUCUGUUCCGGGAUGUCAUGUCAGAAGAAAUCAUAGACGCCGCUGCCCGCCGAGCCCGGCCUCUUUCACUGAGCACCACGCCUGUACAAUGCAGCCGUAUUCACAGGGACAGCGUCUGCGCCUUUGUAGGCUGGGUGGUUCCAGGGAAGCCAGAGCUGACCUGACCUGUGGGGCCCUUGGAGCAGCUGAGCCCACUCAGAAGUGGAGUGGGGCCAGUCCAGGGCCUCCUGCAGUCUGUGGGCAGUCGGGGCCGGCUCCAUGGAGCCGAGGCUGAUGGGCGGUGCAGAGAGCUCACGGCUGCGGGCGGCAGAGACCCCUGCCAGAGGGGGUGCAGCAGGAAGAUGGCCCCGGGCUUAGUGUUUCCAUGGUCUGAUUGAAGAUGGCAGGAGCCCCCCUGAGUGUCACGUCCCCCUGUGGCCAGGUCCCAAGUGGGGAAGGGGCACCUCCCCAUGAAUCUUCCCUCAUGAGAAAACUUCCAGGGGCACCCCCAGGCCUGGCCAUCUUCCUGACGUUCUGCUGGCCAGGGUCACGUCACAUGCCCAUGUCUAAUGCCACAGGAAGGUCAAGAUUCAUAGGCUUCUCGGCUGGGGAGAGUAGCCCACACCUGGCCCAAAUCGGGGCCCUACUGGCAAGGAAGGGAGGGGGCACCUGUGCGGCGGGCAGAGUCUGCUAGAUGACUGGGUGAGGGCCCCAGCUGCCGUGCCAUGGCACGGGGGUUUUCUGUGCACAAAGGACCCAGGCAUGAGCAGGCCACCAGGGAGUGGGUCACGGCCGUGGCCGGCAGGCCGCAGUGGGCUCUUCCUGCAGCUUUGGGCUGGAUGAGCCUUCCUGGGUAUUUCUCAGAGGAGGGCCACCAAGGAGCAGUGCGUGAGCCUUGCCCGCCUGCCUCCGUCUCUCCGUUCUCCAUGCCUGCAUCCCCCCGGCUGUCUUCCAAGUGGUAGUGGAGCUCUCCCUCUGGGCCAGCUCUGGGCCAGGGAGAAGGGGAGGGACUAGGCUCUGUCCCCAAGGACCCCACCACAGGGGCCUCACAACUAAGGCGUGGAGGUGUGUGCCCGCUUAGCACCUCACCUGUAAUCACUAAGUACACCUCCAGGUGAAGAUUUGCCUUUGGUCCUCAAGGAGUGCCGGUUUCCCCUUGAUUACAACCCCCCAGCAAUCAGCUAACUAGCUGCAGCCCAUCAGCUAACUCUCCUCUCUCUACUUCCUGUGUUUAAUUAAGACACAUACAAGCUGGAUUUGGAGGAAUAAGGGUAUCUAGGUAGGGCUGGCCUUCUCUGUCCCUCUUGUCUGACAUGAUGCAGGCCACGGAGAGCCACUGAGCUGUGCGUGGUAAUCUGCCUUGACUUUUCUUGCUGGCAGAUUUUUAGAUGUUUCUGAAACACCUGACCAGGUCCGUGGCCAAAAGCCUCAAGCUUUGGCCCGGGACUGUCUUGGCUGGUAUCAUUUGAGGAUUAUCGAGCCUUAAUUAUGUUUGAUUGGCUAAUCUCCUUGUUAGCAACAUUUGUGAAAAGUGAAAAAAAAAUGAUUUGGCUGCAGUGGAAUUUUCAAGACUUACAAGGAAAGAAUCUUGGCUGCUCCCAUCGUGGGAAUAAGAGGGGCCAUCAGCGGCAGCUCCCCCCGGGCGGCACGGAGGGGCAGGAAGGCAGGUGAGUGAGAUGCCUCCUCAGGUCAUGCGGGCAUCCGUAGGCCCGUCUCCCUCUUCAUAGUGACUCUGUUCAAACAUACCUGGGUUAGGAGAUGCCUACUCAGAAGCUGGGGCACUGUCCACAGGGAUGUGAAGGGCUUCGGAGACGUGGAUUUUAGUUGUCAAGUUUUUAAAAUGCAGCAUGGGAAGGACCCAGGGCUGCUGUGAGCCUGGGACACAUGGGUGCUGCCGAGUCCCGGCUGUGUCCUGUGCCGUCUCCCAUUUCUCUGGAGAAUACGGCGACACAGGAGUGUGGCAGAUUGCCUUGGGACAAUGGACCCCUCUCCUGUCGGGCGGGCUGCAAGGCCCCAAACAAUAGGCCUGGGCCGGCCCCUCUCCUGCUGCCCACGGUCUGAGACAGAUGCCCAGGAGCCCCCUGUGAGCGCCCCGGAGGUGACCUUGGGGGCUUCCCCCUCACUAGGUGGAGGAGCCCCAGAGAGGGAGGGAGGUGGACAAUGGGGGCCUCAUGCCAGGCGCCUGGCCUCCGGCUCGCGACGUGGGCUUCCUGGGGAGAGCGCGGCCUGGCAGGUGCUGCUAUUGUCUUGGGGCCCGGGGGCCCUCCCCGGGGUCUCCCAGCUCGGUGGCAGGAGAGGCCUGGAGGUCCAGGCCCUCUUGCCGCUGCAUGAGGAGCUGGCCUCAUUCAGGCCUUGUGGGCCCAGCCCAGCCCUGCAGUUGGCCUCCGAAAAUGUCAUUCAGAAAAGCAAUCACUGUUGAGUGGCCUUGAGCAGUACCAGGAUUUUGAGUGUCAGGUUUUAUGACCAGACCUGCUGUAGGAAAUGACUGCGAUGUGACAUCCUUCCUUGAGCAGAGGCACAAGUGGAGUUUUCUGGAGAAAUGUCACCUUAGGAGGAUGAGGGUAAGCCUGGAGUGUCCUUUCUCUGCCAAAGGGUUCACCCUGGGAGGAAAACGGCAGCGUGAGCUGAAAGCAACCGAUGAGUAUGUCAGUGCGUCCUCCAUGCAAGGGAGGAGCAGCAGCUGGUGUGUGUGUGUGCACACGUGAGCACGGGGGGGGGCGUCUGAGCAUGGGUGUGUGUGCAUGGGUGUGUGUGAACAUGUGUGUGUGUGAGCAUGUGUGUGUGUGUGUGGGUGCACAUACCCUGUGCUAGGCACUAUGCUGGGGACUCUUUCCCUCUGAUUAUUCGUAGCAGCCUUAUUUGCAACAGCCCCAGACUGGAAACAACAUAAUUUUCCCAAAAGGUGAAUGUGGUAAAUGCCGCUCAGCAAUAGAAAGGAAUGAACUUUACACACAUAACUUGGACACCAAUCAAAAUGCCCCAGACCUAGUGGCUCAAAUCACAGAAAUUCAUCUCCCCAAGCUCUGGAUGCUGGCAGUCCAAGAUCAAGGUGUCAGCAGGGUUGCUGUCCUCUGAGGCCUCCCUCGCUGGCCUACAAAUAGCCACCCUCUCACUGCGGCCCCACCUGUGUCUUCUCUGUGCACACGCAUCCCCGGUGCCUCUGUGUAGGCCCUAGACUCCUCUUACAAGGACACGGGUCAGCUGCGCCAGGGCCACCCAACAACCCAGCCUCAUGUGAACUCAGCUCCUUAAAGACGCUCAAAAAGCCACAUUCUGGGGGACCAGGGGGUUAGAGGUCCAACAUACGAACCUUGGGCAGGACACCCUGCAGCCCACGAGAGAUCUCGAAGGUGUCAGGCUGCGUGAAGAGCACAGUCUCCAAGGCCCAUGUGCAGGAUUCCAUUCCCUUGACAUUCAGAGUGACAAAGGUCAAGAGAUGGAGGACACAGUGGUGUUCCUCCGGGGUCGCGGAUGGCGCAUGCCGGUGAGCAUGACUUGAGAGAUGCAGAAUCAGAGAUCCUUGUUGUGAAAAUUCUGUGUCUUGAUUGGGAUGGAUGUGGGGGAUAUUUGCAAAUAUUUGUUCAGCUGAGAUUUACGAAGAACUUGCUGGGAAAAGGCACCAUUGUCUGACUUUACAGACAAGGAGACAAGACUUCGGAGAGCUCGUUACUUGACCAGACUCCUCAGACCCCAUGUCACACCUGCGGGGCUGCACAGCUUGGGUCUUUUCUCCUGUCCACUCACCCCAAGACCAUUUCCUUCCUCAUCCUGGCUGGUUCUGUGACCUGGGAACAUGACUUAGCCAUGCAACUGUACACUGCUAAGGUCACCUAGGGGCUGGGCGAGACCAUGUGGGGGUGGCCCUGGGAUCAGCAUGCAUGACCAGGAAUUGUGAAUGUAGCCCAACCCACAUGGCAGCCCCGUCAGGGGGCUCGGAGCCCGACACACCCCCACGCACCUCUGGCAUUUUGCUUUGAGAUGCCCCACCCCCAUUUUGGGCUGCUGGUCCGAGCUCCUUGCGGAGACUGCCAGGCAUAGGCAUUUCACAGAUGGUGAAACUGAGCUUCCAAGAGAGACCUGCUCGUGGCUGCACAUCUGUCAGGGCAGAGCUGGAGUCCAGGGUCUUGUAGGACUAUUGCCUUUUUGUGCCAGCAGGGUGGCAGGUGGGCCUGAAAGAGUCUCUGGUGGGAGGAUGGUGCCAGCGAGGGGAGCACCCAGCAGGCCUGCAGAGAGCCUGGACCCCUGGGUCCUGGGCCUCAUGUGCGUGCUGGGCAGGGGUCCGAGCCGGGCUGGGGCUCCCUCCACGGUGUCAAGGGCAUUGUCAGGGGCACUAUCUACCCUGACUGUCACGGAGGAUUUCAGCGGGCUGGCAACCUGGCUGCUGCAGGGCAUCUAAAGCGGACGUGGCUCUCUCAGCAGUGUCCCCAGAGACCCCCACUCGGGGAAGUGGGCAGUUCACUCCCAGGCAGCUCGGCCCUUUCAUUUGGUGGGUGCCCGAGGGCCUGGGGAGCCGGCCGCUACGGGCACUGGGUCACUGGCAGGCAGCUGGCCAUCCUCCCCAGGCCUCGGCCUCCACAUCUGAAAGGCUGGGGAUGAGGAGACCAGCUCUAGCUAGUUCUCAAGCUGUGCCUGGCACCGGCCUGUGACCAUGUGGCCGGGGGCCCGGGGCCAGUGAUGCUGGGACAGUCGCUGGGCCAUGGUGGGGGGUGGGGCCCUUUCUGCUUGGUGCUGUUGAGGCGCAGGAUCGUGCAGGGCCUCCGGUGAUGUGGCCGGUCUGUGGUGCUAAGGACAGGAGGUGAGCCCGUGGGAGUAAAGUGGUGCUGGGGUCUCCCCAGGGGAAAAAGCUGAGCUAGUGGCCCAGGGGGGUUUGGUGAGGACUGGCUGGCCAGGUGUGCCCCCCACACCUGUGCGCUGCACAGUGACGGGGACCGUGUCUGCCUGGUAGGCCCUGGUCCUCCUGGCCCGGUUUCCUCAUCCACAGCCAGGAGCACUGAUGUGGCCUCCGUCCACCAGCCCUCGGCUCUGUAUGCUGGGCCUGCCCGGCUGCCUUGGCAGGACCCGGGGCCAGAGGAAGGGGCUGGGGACGGGGUGGCCAGACUGCGGGGUGGCUGGGCUGGACGGUGGGUCGGGCAGUUGGCCCGGGCCUCACAGCAGCCGCUGAUCUGGCCGUGGUGGCUGUGCUCUGUCAGACAGUUGUCCCCCUCCCACCCCUGGCCGCCUGUGACGAGCGGGCUUUCAGGAGAUAUGACAGCCACUGGCAGGGGGUCCCUGGCCCCAGUCCGCGUCUCCACACUUGACUCGCUCGGCGUUCACUGGCCCGAAAUAAUGCCCCCAAUGCGAGUCGGCGGACAGAACAUUUGAGUGGACGUUUGUUUUUUUUUACCUCCUUUUUAAAUACAUUAAACAUGCAUUACUGGAUUUCUACCCGGUUCCUCUGACA